rnacentral:misc_RNA from 1 species
UCCAUCUAGGGAUAUUCCAAAUAGUUAGACAGUUGUUUUAAUCCUUUUGGUUACAAGAUUCUCGUACUUCGAGUGUGGUUAGUUGAUAAAAGUAACAUGCAGUAAUAAUAGUCGAUAAAACAUACGGACGUUCCGGUCGGAUGUUACAGUGUGAACGAGUCCGGUGUCUAGCAUCUGGAAAUUUCCACCAGGCGCCGUUCGACGUCACAACUAUGAGGCAAAAUAAUCGAGUCGGUCGAUUCAUGGAGUUUGAAAAGUAAUCGGUUACACUCGAUUAGUCGGGAAAACAAAAUUCCAUUUAAUUGAAAAUCGAUUCAGUGCUCAUGAUGGCACGACCGUCUUUCUACUUAUGAACCGGCACCUCCACUCUGACAUAACCUAAGUGAUUAGUAGUUGCGAAUUUGGUUACGAAUACCGAGACUUACCGUUCGGCUACCUCGCCUAAACAUGACGGUUCCCAAUUCUAAGAACUCAUUUCUUACCUCGCUCAUAUCUGGCGGUGCUGCAGGAACUUUUGUAGAUGUUGCGUUAUUCCCGCUAGAUACUUUAAAAACUCGGCUGCAGAGUCAGAGGGGAUUCCUGCAGUCAGGUGGUUUUACGGGAUUGUAUCAUGGAAUCAAACCAGUUAUACUUGGCUCAGCACCAACCGCUGCAUUGUUUUUUGUGACUUAUGACAGUGUCAAAAUAUUCCUAAAACCAAAAGUUGAUGAGAGGCAUCACUUUCUCAUUUACAUGGGAGGUGCCACUUUCAGUGAAAUGGUAGCCUGUUUAAUAAGAGUACCAGUUGAAGUAGUGAAACAAAGGAAUCAAGCUCUGCUAUCUGGCAAAGAACGUCUUGGUAUAAAGUUACUGUAUCGUGGCUACUGGAGUACAGUUUUGAGGGAUACUCCAUUUAGCCUGUUACAAUUUCCACUGUGGGAAUACUUCAAACACAGUUGGAGCCACAAAGUCGAUAGGGAAUUAAAACCAUGGGAGGGAGCCGUAUGUGGUGCGGUUGCAGGUGGCAUCUCAGCAGCAGUAACUACACCACUGGAUGUAGCAAAAACUAGAAUAAUGCUUUCCAGUGUAACAGUUGGUAGUUCUGAGUUGAAAAUUUUCUUUGUCCUUAGGGCAUUGUACAGAGAAAAAGGAGUGCAAGGGCUAUUCGCUGGUAUUUCGCCACGUGUCGUUUGGAUAACUGCUGGCGGUUUCAUAUUCUUUGGUAUUUAUGAGGAGACAAAAGUUAUAAUGGGAAAAUUAUUUUCAACGAAAACCAGAGUACCUAAUCUAUAAUUGAACUUGUAAACACGGUUGAUGGUAAAAAUUAUGCGGUGACAUUGAAGCACCUCUGUACAUUUCUUGGGAAUGCAUAGAAUCACGUCGCUGAAACAUCCAUGCCUUUGUCCAUACAAUUUUGUUGAACAUCCAUGCUACUCUCAGUAAAUCAGGAUUGACCCAAUUGUGAAAUUCAAAUAUCGCUGCGUCAAACUAGAUGUUGGGUUGAGGCGGCAAUGUAGACCGGCCAGGUAAGAGAAGCAAUUCACUUUGACCAGAGACGCUCUGGUGUUGAUUACAUUAUAUAUUCCUCAUAGAGUUGUACACAAAUUUUCCAUUUACUCAUUUAUUACUAUUGAAUUGAACUUAAGUUGAUCGUCGACAUAAGCAAAUUUAAAUAUGAAUUUUAAAUACAAUUGGAAAUGAUCUACUGUUCAUCGAACCCUCUGGAAAUGUUUAUCACACAUAAACACAGAUCGUCGUGACCUGUGGACAUUGCUCAUCAACGAAUGACAUCGACGGUAACAAAUUGUAGAUAGAUUAUGCUAUUGUCUGUUAAUCUUCGUUGCCACUUUAGUUAAGUUCAGUGCAUAAUAAUAUAAGAUUUGUUUAAUGGUAUGCUUAUUAUUUUUUCUUCGAAAACUCUAUUAAACUUAGUUUCACCCAUUUAGUUAAAUUA